rnacentral:rRNA from 1 species
CGCUAGCCCUUGGCUUAACACCUGCAAGUCGAGGGGCAGCGGGAUUGAAGCUUGCUUCAAUUGCCGGCGACCGGCGCACGGGUGAGUAACACGUAUCCAACCUUCCGUUUACUCGGGGAUAGCCUUUCGAAAGAAAGAUUAAUACCCGAUAGUAUGGUGAGAUUGCAUGAUAGCACCAUUAAAGAUUCAUCGGUAAACGAUGGGGAUGCGUUCCAUUAGGUAGUAGGCGGGGUAACGGCCCACCUAGCCUUCGAUGGAUAGGGGUUCUGAGAGGAAGGUCCCCCACAUUGGAACUGAGACACGGUCCAAACUCCUACGGGAGGCAGCAGCGAGGAAUAUUGGUCAAUGGGCGAGAGCCUGAACCAGCCAAGUAGCGUGAAGGAUGAAGGUCCUACGGAUUGUAAACUUCUUUUAUAAGGGAAUAAAACGCUCCACGUGUGGAGCCUUGUAUGUACCUUAUGAAUAAGCAUCGGCUAACUCCGUGCCCGCAGCCGCGGUAAUACGGAGGAUGCGAGCGUUAUCCGGAUUUAUUGGGUUUAAAGGGAGCGCAGACGGGAUGUUAAGUCAGCUGUGAAAGUUUGCGGC